GGUCGGAUUCGGAAUGGGAGGGGGAAUUGAAGUGCUGAGCCACCGGGAAAUCGGGUGGGUUAGUGCGAACCGAGCGGAGGUGUUGGGCGAAGCGAUCGCCAAGCCUACGCUUGGUCUCAUUGAUGUAGAGAAGCUGACAUCAAGAGCAGCGAAUGCAAUAGAUGAGGUUGGAGGAGGUGCAGGUGAACCUCUGCCACACCUGGAAAGACGGCUUGGGUCCUUGGUUGGAGUAGAGG